rnacentral:rRNA from 1 species
AACGCUGGCGGCGUGCUUAACACAUGCAAGUCGAACGGAAAGGCCCUGCUUUUGUGGGGUGCUCGAGUGGCGAACGGGUGAGUAACACGUGAGUAACCUGCCCUUGACUUUGGGAUAACUUCAGGAAACUGGGGCUAAUACCGGAUAGGAGCUCCUGCUGCAUGGUGGGGGUUGGAAAGUUUCGGCGGUUGGGGAUGGACUCGCGGCUUAUCAGCUUGUUGGUGGGGUAGUGGCUUACCAAGGCUUUGACGGGUAGCCGGCCUGAGAGGGUGACCGGCCACAUUGGGACUGAGAUACGGCCCAGACUCCUACGGGAGGCAGCAGUGGGGAAUAUUGCACAAUGGGCGGAAGCCUGAUGCAGCAACGCCGCGUGCGGGAUGACGGCCUUCGGGUUGUAAACCGCUUUCGCCUGUGACGAAGCGUGAGUGACGGUAAUGGGUAAAGAAGCACCGGCUAACUACGUGCCAGCAGCCGCGGUGAUACGUAGGGUGCGAGCGUUGUCCGGAUUUAUUGGGCGUAAAGGGCUCGUAGGUGGUUGAUCGCGUCGGAAGUGUAAUCUUGGGGCUUAACCCUGAGCGUGCUUUCGAUACGGGUUGACUUGAGGAAGGUAGGGGAGAAUGGAAUUCCUGGCGGAGCGGUGGAAUGCGCAGAUAUCAGGAGGAACACCAGUGGCGAAGGCGGUUCUCUGGGCCUUUCCUGACGCUGAGGAGCGAAAGCGUGGGGAGCGAACAGGCUUAGAUACCCUGGUAGUCCACGCUGUAAACGGUGGGUACUAGGUGUGGGGUCCAUUCCACGGGCUCCGUGCCGUAGCUAACGCUUUAAGUACCCCGCCUGGGGAGUACGGCCGCAAGGCUAAAACUCAAAGGAAUUGACGGGGCCCCGCACAAGCGGCGGAGCAUGCGGAUUAAUUCGAUGCAACGCGUAGAACCUUACCUGGGUUUGACAUGGAUCGGGAGUGCUCAGAGAUGGGUGUGCCUCUUUUGGGGUCGGUUCACAGGUGGUGCAUGGCUGUCGUCAGCUCGUGUCGUGAGAUGUUGGGUUAAGUCCCGCAACGAGCGCAACCCUUGUUCACUGUUGCCAGCACGUUAUGGUGGGGACUCAGUGGAGACCGCCGGGGUCAACUCGGAGGAAGGUGGGGAUGACGUCAAGUCAUCAUGCCCCUUAUGUCCAGGGCUUCACGCAUGCUACAAUGGCUGGUACAGAGAGUGGCGAGCCUGUGAGGGUGAGCGAAUCUCGGAAAGCCGGUCUCAGUUCGGAUUGGGGUCUGCAACUCGACCUCAUGAAGUCGGAGUCGCUAGUAAUCGCAGAUCAGCAACGCUGCGGUGAAUACGUUCCCGGGGCUUGUACACACCGCCCGUCAAGUCAUGAAAGUUGGUAACACCCGAAGCCGGUGGCCUAACCGUUGUGGGGGAGCCGUCGAAGGUGGGACUGGUGAUUAGGACUAA